UACACUCCUACGGGAGGCAGCAGUGGGGAAUUUUGGACAAUGGGCGCAAGCCUGAUCCAGCCAUGCCGCGUGCGGGAAGAAGGCCUUCGGGUUGUAAACCGCUUUUGUCAGGGAAGAAAAGGUUCUGGCUAAUACCUGGGACUCAUGACGGUACCUGAAGAAUAAGUACCGGCUAACUACGUGCCAGCAGCCGCGGUAAUACGUAGGGUGCAAGCGUUAAUCGGAAUUACUGGGCGUAAAGCGUGCGCAGGCGGUUAUGCAAGACAGAGGUGAAAUCCCCGGGCUCAACCUGGGAACUGCCUUUGUGACUGCAUGGCUAGAGUACGGGAGAGGGGGAUGGAAUUCCGCGGGUAGCAGUGAAAUGCGUAGAUAUGCGGAGGAACACCGAUGGCGAAGGCAAUCCCCUGGACCUGUACUGACGCUCAUGCACGAAAGCGUGGGGAGCAAACAGGAUUAGAUACCCUGGUAGUCCCA
rnacentral:rRNA from 1 species